GCGGAGGAAAAGAAACUAACAAGGAUUCCCCUAGUAACGGCGAGUGAAGCGGGAUGAGCUCAAAUUUGUAAUCUGGUGGACUCAGUUCAUCCGAGUUGUAAUCUAUAGAAGUGUUUUCCGCGCUGGACCGUGUCUAAGUCCCUUGGAACAGGGUGUCAGAGAGGGUGAGAAUCCCGUGCUUGAUACGAUCACCAGUGCUAUGUGAUACACUUUCAACGAGUCGAGUUGUUUGGGAAUGCAGCUCAAAAUGGGUGGUAAAUUCCAUCUAAAGCUAAAUAUUGGCGAGAGACCGAUAGCGAACAAGUACCGUGAGGGAAAGAUGAAAAGCACUUUGGAAAGAGAGUUAAACAGUACGUGAAAUUGUUAAAAGGGAAACGAUUGAAGUCAGUCGUGCUCUCUGGGACUCAGCCGGUUCUUCCGGUGUACUUCCCAGUGAGCGGGUCAACAUCAGUUUAGAUCGCUGGAUAAAGGUAUUAGGAAGGUGGCUCCCUCGGGAGUGUUAUAGCCUAGUAUCGCAUACAGUGGUUUAGACUGAGGAACGCAGCUCGCCUUUAUGGCCGGGGUUCGCCCACGUCCGAGCUUAGGAUGUUGACAUAAUGGCUUUAAACGACCCGUCUUGA
rnacentral:rRNA from 1 species